rnacentral:rRNA from 1 species
AGAGUUUGAUCAUGGCUCAGGAUGAACGCUGGCGGCGUGCUUCAUACAUGCAAGUCGAACGAGAAUUUGGAGCUUGCUCCAAAGGAGUGGCGGACGGGUGAGUAAUACAUAGGGAAUCUGCCCUUAGCUGGGGGGCAACAGUUGGAAACGACUGCUAAUACCGCAUAGGAGGUAUGUUGAGAUACAUAUCUUGAAAACUCCGGUGGCUAAGGAUGAGCCUGUGCCUGAUUAGCUGGUUGGCGGUGUAAAUGACCACCAAGGCGACGAUCAGUAGCUGGUUUGAGAGGAUGAUCAGCCACAAUGGGACUGAGACACGGCCCAUACUCCUACGGGAGGCAGCAGUAGGGAAUUUUGCGCAAUGGGGGGGAACCCUGACGCAGCAACGCCGCGUGAACGAAGAAGCUUUUAGGAGUGUAAAGUUCUGUCAGCGGGGACGAAAGAUGACGGUACCCGCAGAGGAAGCACCGGCUAACUCCGUGCCAGCAGCCGCGGUAAUACGGGGGGUGCAAGCGUUGUCCGGAAUCAUUGGGCGUAAAGCGUUCGUAGGCGGCAAACCAAGUCUGGUGUUAAAGACCGAAGCUCAACUUCGGAUGGGCAUUGGAUACUGGUUAGCUAGAAUGUGGUAGAGGUAAAGGGAAUUCCUGGUGUAGCGGUGAAAUGCGUAGAUAUCAGGAGGAACACCGGUGGCGUAAGCGCUUUACUGGGCCAUAAUUGACGCUGAGGAACGAAAGCCGGGGGAGCAAAUGGGAUUAAAUACCCCAGUAGUCCCGGCUGUAAACGAUGGAUACUAGGUGUUGCGG